GGCUGGUCCGAGUGCAGUGGUGCCUACAAUUAAUUGAUCACAGCCAGUUACAGAUUUCUUUGUUCCUUCUCCACUCCCACUGCUUCACUUGACCAGCCUUUU
rnacentral:Y_RNA from 1 species